CCCUUAGACGUUCUGGGCCGCACGCGCGCUACACUGACGGAGCAAGCGAGUAUAAACCUUGGCCGAGAGGUCUGGGAAAUCUUGUGAAACUCCGUCGUGCUGGGGAUAGAGCAUUGUAAUUAUUGCUCUUCAACGAGGAAUUCCUAGUAAGCGCAAGUCAUCAGCUUGCGUUGAUUACGUCCCUGCCCUUUGUACACACCGCCCGUCGCUACUACCGAUUGAAUGGCUUAGUGAGGCUUCCGGAUUGGUUUAGAGAAGGGGGCAACUCCAUCUUGGAACCGAGAAGCUAGUCAAACUUGGUCAUUUAGAGGAAGUAAAAGUCGUAACA
rnacentral:rRNA from 1 species